rnacentral:rRNA from 1 species
UACGUAGGGGGCAAGCGUUGUCCGGAUUUAUUGGGCGUAAAGAGCGUGUAGGCGGCCUGAAAGGUCAGCUGUGAAAACUCGAGGCUCAACCUCGAGACGUCGGUUGAAACCAUCUGGCUAGAGUCCGGAAGAGGAGUGUGGAAUUCCCGGUGUAGCGGUGAAAUGCGUAGAGAUCGGGAGGAACACCUGCGGCGAAAGCGGCUCACUGGACCAUAACUGACGCUGAUGCACGAAAGCUGGGGGAGCAAACAGG